UCUGCUCCGGCCACUUCCUAUGCGCGUGCACGUUUUUUCGUAUGCUUCACAGUAAAAAAGUUUCUUUGUGCGCCCACGAACGUUCCAGCAGUGUCGGGAAAUCGGAGAAAAGGCACAAGGCCUGCUGCAUGGCUUUUUGGUAUGGCAACUCGUGGACGAACAGCAGGGUGAAACUUCUGCGUUUUCCAGUGGACGAGAGGACUCGGCUCGUUUGCAUGGAACAAUCAAAUGAGAGGUGAACAAAUUUAGGCGCGGCCGACCGUCUAUGAGUGGGAAGGUGCCUGUGUGGAGUCCGUGGAGUGCUUCCGCAGACGAGAACAUCCCAGGUGGACACAAGCCUGAAGAAAUGGGCACGCACUCUAGACUGACGUUGUGAUGCCGGAUGCACUAUACCCGCUCGUUGGAGAGGGACUAUUUCUGUAGACGUGGAGGCAA